rnacentral:tRNA from 1 species
ACUUUUAUAGCUUAAUCUUUAAAGCAUAGCGCUGAAAACGCUAAAAUGAACCCUAAAAAGUUCUAAAAGUA